rnacentral:ncRNA from 1 species
UAAAUGAUAAGUUUAAUUCUUGUUUAUUUUUCUAUUAGUCACAAGCAUUCUAUGAGAGUGAUUGCGUGCAUACUGUAAAAGUUGAUCUUUAGUAUUAUAGUUCUCAGUGUAGAGAAUUGGAGGAUUAAUUAAGGUUUAAAUUAGUUAUGUGAAAGGAACACGGGUUAAGAUUGUGCCAGCAGCCGCGGUUAGACUGAUAGUGUGAGUAGAAAAAUCUGAGUUAGUAGUUAGAAUGUAAGGUUUAAUUAAAUUUGAAUUUGAAAGUUGAGGGUGAAAUUUAUCUCUUUUUAUUAUUGAGAUUUGGACAAACUUUUUUUGAAGCUAUGAAAAUUUAGGUACAAAAUAGGAUUAGAUACCCUAGUAUGCUUGAUUGAAAAUUAUAAUACUUGAUUAGUAAAUAGUUAUGUUCUUGAAAUUUAAAGAAUUUGGCGGCCCUUCAGUCCAGUUAGAGGAACCUGUCCUGUAAACGAUAAACCACGAAUUAUUUUACUUUCUUUUGCUUAUUUCAAUUAGUAUACCGUCAUUAUUAGAUAAUUUUUAAAUAAAUUAAUUUUAAUAGAUUUGUUUUCUAGUAUAUUAGAUCAGGGUGCUGUCAAUAGGAAAGAAGAGAUGGGUUACAAUAAUAUUUAAUUAUUAUGAAUGUAAAAUUGAAAUUUUUUACGGAAGGAGGAUUUAAUAGUAGUAAGUUUGUAGUUAGUACUUGCGGUAGUGGUUCUGAAGUGUGUACAAAUCGCCCGUCGCUCUCACUAUCAAUGUGAGAUAAGUCGUAACAAGGUAGGUGUACCGGAAGGUGCCCCUAGUAUUAA